rnacentral:rRNA from 1 species
GAUGAACGCUGGCGGCGUGCCUAACACAUGCAAGUCGAACGGAGCUUAUAAGAGCAGCGGCUUCGGCCAACGGUCUUUUAAGUUUAGUGGCGGACGGGUGAGUAACGCGUGGGGAACCUGCCUUGUACUGGGGGAUAACAGAGGGAAGCUUCUGCUAAUACCGCAUAAGCGCACAGCACCGCAUGGUGCAGUGUGAAAAACUCCGGUGGUACAAGAUGGACCCGCGUUGGAUUAGCUGGUUGGCGGGGCAACGGCCCACCAAGGCGACGAUCCAUAGCCGGCCUGAGAGGGUGAACGGCCACAUUGGGACUGAGACACGGCCCAGACUCC